UAUUCGAAAUUUUAAAGCCUAAUGUCUUUGGGACAUCUCCCUAUAAAAAAAAAUGCACCCAAUUUCUGUCGAUGUCAUUAUGUCAAAAAAAAAAGGCAUUCUUUCUCUGUUUCCGGUGACUUUUUACCCAUACCGUUAGCUUGAAGAGACGUGACUUUUUUCAUUGCGCGAAUUAAUAUCCCAAAAAAUUAAUUUAAUCUGUGGCAAAAAUUAUAUUAAACUCUGUUUUAGAAUAAAGGUUGAAUUGUGAAGAUAGGGAGUGAACUUUUUAGAAUAAAAUUGUGAAUUGAAGUGAAGAAAAUAGUGGUUUCUUUCAUCGCCGAAGAUUUCCGCAUGCACCAUCAUAUAUUUGGAUCAUCUCUGGGAAUUCCACCGGAUUUUCAACGCAUCCCAAGGAGUUCGUGAGUAAAACCAAGGAAGGAAAUUUGGGAAAAGGCAACAGCCAAAAGUUUGCGUGAAAAUUCCCACCACUUGGCCUUCUAACAACGUGCAUAGAAACUCACGUGACUAGGGUGAUAUUCCCCAGGGGCUCCACAGAACACCCAAGAGCUUUGCAACAGGGAAAAAUUUUGUUCCUUCUCCCCAGAUAGGCUCAAGGAGGGCUCAAUUUAAUAUCUUUUCGUUAUUUUUCAUAGGUAGAAGAUACCAUUUGUCAUCCAUUCAAUUAUCAGGGAAUUAAUUUCAUUUCUUUCCGGAAUUUAUUCCAAAGGUAACAGAUCACAUUUCCCCAUACGGUGUUUGAUGAACUAACCGUUUCUUCUCAACGUAUUUUUUUCCAAAAGGUAGAAGAUACCAUUUGUCAUCCAUUCAAUUAUCAGGGAAUUAAUUUC